GACGAACGCUGGCGGCGUGCUUAACACAUGCAAGUCGAACGGAAAGGCCUCUUUCGGGGGGUACUCGAGUGGCGAACGGGUGAGUAACACGUGAGUAACCUGCCCUUGACUUUGGGAUAACUUCAGGAAACUGGGGCUAAUACCGGAUAGGAGCUCCUGCUGCAUGGUGGGGGUUGGAGAGUUUCGGCGGUUGGGGGUGGACUCGCGGCUUAUCAGCUUGUUGGUGGGGUAGUGGCUUACCAAGGCUUUGACGGGUAGCCGGCCUGAGAGGGUGACCGGCCACAUUGGGACUGAGAUACGGCCCAGACUCCUACGGGGGGCAGCAGUGGGGAAUAUUGCACAAUGGGUGGAAGCCUGAUGCAGCAACGCCGUGGGCGGGAUGACGGCCUUCGGGUUGUAAACCGCUUUCGCUCAUGACGAAGCUUUGUGUGACGGUAGUGGGUAAAGAAGCACCGGCUAACUACGUG
rnacentral:rRNA from 1 species